CACACUAUCAUUAACUGAAUCCAUAGGUUAAUGAGGCGAACCGGGGGAACUGAAACAUCUAAGUACCCCGAGGAAAAGAAAUCAACCGAGAUUCCCCCAGUAGCGGCGAGCGAACGGGGAGCAGCCCAGAGCCUGAAUCAGUGUGUGUGUUAGUGGAAGCGUCUGGAAAGGCGCGCGAUACAGGGUGACAGCCCCGUACACAAAAAUGCACAUGCUGUGAGCUCGAUGAGUAGGGCGGGACACGUGGUAUCCUGUCUGAAUAUGGGGGGACCAUCCUCCAAGGCUAAAUACUCCUGACUGACCGAUAGUGAACCAGUACCGUGAGGGAAAGGCGAAAAGAACCCCGGCGAGGGGAGUGAAAAAGAACCUGAAACCGUGUACGUACAAGCAGUGGGAGCACGCUUAGGCGUGUGACUGCGUACCUUUUGUAUAAUGGGUCAGCGACUUAUAUUCUGUAGCAAGGUUAACCGAAUAGGGGAGCCGAAGGGAAACCGAGUCUUAACUGGGCGUUAAGUUGCAGGGUAUAGACCCGAAACCCGGUGAUCUAGCCAUGGGCAGGUUGAAGGUUGGGUAACACUAACUGGAGGACCGAACCGACUAAUGUUGAAAAAUUAGCGGAUGACUUGUGGCUGGGGGUGAAAGGCCAAUCAAACCGGGAGAUAGCUGGUUCUCCCCGAAAGCUAUUUAGGUAGCGCCUCGUGAAUUCAUCUCCGGGGGUAGAGCACUGUUUCGGCAAGGGGGUCAUCCCGACUUACCAACCCGAUGCAAACUGCGAAUACCGGAGAAUGUUAUCACGGGAGACACACGGCGGGUGCUAACGUCCGUCGUGAAGAGGGAAACAACCCAGACCGCCAGCUAAGGUCCCAAAGUCAUGGUUAAGUGGGAAACGAUGUGGGAAGGCCCAGACAGCCAGGAUGUUGGCUUAGAAGCAGCCAUCAUUUAAAGAAAGCGUAAUAGCUCACUGGUCGAGUCGGCCUGCGCGGAAGAUGUAACGGGGCUAAACCAUGCACCGAAGCUGCGGCAGCGACGCUUAUGCGUUGUUGGGUAGGGGAGCGUUCUGUAAGCCUGUGAAGGUGUACUGUGAGGUAUGCUGGAGGUAUCAGAAGUGCGAAUGCUGACAUAAGUAACGAUAAAGCGGGUGAAAAGCCCGCUCGCCGGAAGACCAAGGGUUCCUGUCCAACGUUAAUCGGGGCAGGGUGAGUCGACCCCUAAGGCGAGGCCGAAAGGCGUAGUCGAUGGGAAACAGGUUAAUAUUCCUGUACUUGGUGUUACUGCGAAGGGGGGACGGAGAAGGCUAUGUUGGCCGGGCGACGGUUGUCCCGGUUUAAGCGUGUAGGCUGGUUUUCCAGGCAAAUCCGGAAAAUCAAGGCUGAGGCGUGAUGACGAGGCACUACGGUGCUGAAGCAACAAAUGCCCUGCUUCCAGGAAAAGCCUCUAAGCAUCAGGUAACAUCAAAUCGUACCCCAAACCGACACAGGUGGUCAGGUAGAGAAUACCAAGGCGCUUGAGAGAACUCGGGUGAAGGAACUAGGCAAAAUGGUGCCGUAACUUCGGGAGAAGGCACGCUGAUAUGUAGGUGAAGUCCCUCGCGGAUGGAGCUGAAAUCAGUCGAAGAUACCAGCUGGCUGCAACUGUUUAUUAAAAACACAGCACUGUGCAAACACGAAAGUGGACGUAUACGGUGUGACGCCUGCCCGGUGCCGGAAGGUUAAUUGAUGGGGUUAGCGCAAGCGAAGCUCUUGAUCGAAGCCCCGGUAAACGGCGGCCGUAACUAUAACGGUCCUAAGGUAGCGAAAUUCCUUGUCGGGUAAGUUCCGACCUGCACGAAUGGCGUAAUGAUGGCCAGGCUGUCUCCACCCGAGACUCAGUGAAAUUGAACUCGCUGUGAAGAUGCAGUGUACCCGCGGCAAGACGGAAAGACCCCGUGAACCUUUACUAUAGCUUGACACUGAACAUUGAGCCUUGAUGUGUAGGAUAGGUGGGAGGCUUUGAAGUGUGGACGCCAGUCUGCAUGGAGCCGACCUUGAAAUACCACCCUUUAAUGUUUGAUGUUCUAACGUUGACCCGUAAUCCGGGUUGCGGACAGUGUCUGGUGGGUAGUUUGACUGGGGCGGUCUCCUCCUAAAGAGUAACGGAGGAGCACGAAGGUUGGCUAAUCCUGGUCGGACAUCAGGAGGUUAGUGCAAUGGCAUAAGCCAGCUUGACUGCGAGCGUGACGGCGCGAGCAGGUGCGAAAGCAGGUCAUAGUGAUCCGGUGGUUCUGAAUGGAAGGGCCAUCGCUCAACGGAUAAAAGGUACUCCGGGGAUAACAGGCUGAUACCGCCCAAGAGUUCAUAUCGACGGCGGUGUUUGGCACCUCGAUGUCGGCUCAUCACAUCCUGGGGCUGAAGUAGGUCCCAAGGGUAUGGCUGUUCGCCAUUUAAAGUGGUACGCGAGCUGGGUUUAGAACGUCGUGAGACAGUUCGGUCCCUAUCUGCCGUGGGCGCUGGAGAACUGAGGGGGGCUGCUCCUAGUACGAGAGGACCGGAGUGGACGCAUCACUGGUGUUCGGGUUGUCAUGCCAAUGGCACUGCCCGGUAGCUAAAUGCGGAAGAGAUAAGUGCUGAAAGCAUCUAAGCACGAAACUUGCCCCGAGAUGAGUUCUCCCUGA
rnacentral:rRNA from 1 species